rnacentral:rRNA from 1 species
AACGAACGCUGGCGGCAUGCCUAACACAUGCAAGUCGAACGAGACCUUCGGGUCUAGUGGCGCACGGGUGCGUAACGCGUGGGAACCUGCCCUUAGGUUCGGAAUAACUCCCCGAAAGGGGUGCUAAUACCGGAUAAUGUCUUCGGACCAAAGAUUUAUCGCCUUUGGAUGGGCCCGCGUUGGAGUAGCUAGUUGGUAGGGUAAAAGCCUACCAAGGCGACGAUCCAUAGCUGGUCUGAGAGGAUGAUCAGCCACACUGGGACUGAGACACGGCCCAGACUCCUACGGGAGGAAGCAGUGGGGAAUAUGGCACAAGGGGCGCAAGCGUGAUGUAGCGAGACCGCGUGGGGGAAGAAGGCCUUCGGGUUGGAAAGAUAUGGUGUUGGGAAAGAAAAGCAGCAGGUGAAGAACCCGCUGUGAGGAGGGUACCCAAAGAAUAAGCACCGGCUAACUUCGUG